CCUACGGGAGGCAGCAGUGGGGAAUAUUGGGCAAUGGGCGCAAGCCUGACCCAGCAAUGCAGCGUGAAGGAAGAAGGCCCUCGGGUUGGAAACUUCUUUUAUCAGGGAAGAAGGAUGUGACGGUACCUGAUGAAUAAGCUUCGGCUAACUACAUGACAGCAGCCGAGGUAAGACGUAGGGAGCAAGCGUUAUCAGGAUUUACGGGGUGUAAAGGGCGCGUAGGCGGGAUGGAAAGUCAGAUGUGAAAUCCAGGGGCUCAACCCCUGAACUGCAGUUGAAACUGUCGUUCUUGAGUGCUGGAAGGGUUGACGGAAUUCCUGGUGUAGCGGUGAAAUGCGUAGAUAUUAGGAGGAACACCAGUGGCGAAGGCGGUCAACUGGACAGCAACUGACGCUGAGGCGCGAAAGCGUGGGGAGCAAACAGGAUUAGAUACCCCAGUAGUC
rnacentral:rRNA from 1 species